rnacentral:pre_miRNA from 1 species
UGUGUAGAGGGGAGCGAGGGUACCGUGCAAUAUCGGGUAACCUUUCCUACUCUCACAGC